GUACUCUCCCGCGGACCGGUUACGUGGCGUUGUGUUCGCCACACGAACUCCCUCGUCUCGCUCUCCGCCCGCUCAUUCUUCCUCCUCAGUUGCCGCCUUCCUCCGCCUCGGGGAAGGUCUCCGACGCGCUUCACACUGUUAGGUUAGUGCAUGAAGGCGUAUAUAGUGUGUUGAUGCCAUCAACCAUCAAUAGUUGGGCUAGUAGAGGUCGAUGAUGAACACGAAGAAGAGGUUGCUUCAGAGAGCACAAAUUAUGGCACUCACUUGUGUCUUGAUAUUUGAUCACCAAGCCCAAAGUGCAGAUGAAGCAGUCAGGAUCUUUACGGAAUUUUGGAGAUCAGAAAGGCUGGAAGACUGAAACACCAUCACUGACCUUUUGACUGGCUUACUUCCUCAAGGAAAACAGCUAACAGAUGAACUUUUACCUCUCAUGGUCCUCUUUUUCACCGGUAUUGAACUGCAACUGCUAGUAAUGGGAUGGACAAAUAACUCCUCCCUGUCAGAUUGGUUCAAGGAGGAUGAUCUACAGCCUAGGUGUCCCCACCUAAGAAGAGCAAGACGCAGGCAUUAAUUGGUAUCAAGGGCCGCUUCUUUGGUGGAAGAAUGGUGCAUGCUUCAUUCUAUGGUGAGGAAAGGUUUAGAAAUAAAGAGCUGGCUUCAAUGCAUGGAGAAGUACCUGGUUACCCAUGGGGAACAUUAUUAGGCGAUGAGCGUCUCCAUUGGGCUUUCUGGUAGAUGAUACGUCGGUAACAAUUGUAGCUUGUCCAUGGAGCUUAAUGCAGUCGACCAUGCAUGUCUAAGUUUUGGUCCGAGCUAUCAAUUUGAGGUUCAGGUAACUCUUUGUAAAGCAUUAAAGGAUGUUCUUGGUGAGGAUUGUAGACCUGGAAACGUGCUUACAUGAUCUGUUAAUGGACAUUGUUUGUUCCUUCUUCAAA